CCGGGGACGCCUCCCCUGCUGUGCUCUUGGCAAGCGAAAGUGAAACGCAGAGCCGAGUCGCUCGGAAAUUCCCGACGGAGCCCCCAGCAGCCAGAGACUCGUCUCGGGGGGCAACCUCCCACAGCUAGACAGCGUCUGAUCCAGUGUCCAAGGGGCCCUGUUUGGACCCUGCCCGACCGCCUGGAUGGGCUCCUCCCCCGACACCGACCUCAGGCGCCUGCUGCAGACCGCCCUGGAUGAGGCACCCAAAAUCAACAACUGCAGCUCGACGGUGCACGGCUGCCCGGCGCUGCGGGCCUGCCCCGGCUGCGGCGCUCUGGUGAGCCACGCCCAGAAGGGCUGCCCCACGGUGUGGUGUGCCGAGUGCCCAUGCUCCUUCUGCUUCCGGUGCCUGGAAGUGGGUUACUGUGGGUACAAGGUCCCCCGGUGCAACAUCAAGAAGAGGCAACGACUGCUGGGCAGGGGAAGGAGCCAGCCCCAGCUGUGAGCCAGGAACAUCUUUGUGCCAACAAACAGGGGACAAACGGACGAAGGGACGGACCCUCCUGCCCACCUGUCCCUUUUGGGGUCCUUGGAAAAGACUCUGGGAGACAAAUCAGCUCCUGCCGUCAGCUUCGCCGGAGUGGCUACUGCUGCUGCUAUGUUCGGGGACCCUGGGCUUUGGUCCCCCGGAGCCGAGAGAUGUUCCCACCAGCCCGGGCCAGGGACGGGGCCUCCAGCGGCUCCGGCUGCGUCCCGGCCACCAGCUGGGAUGAAGCGGGAAUCAGAUUUGAAUGGCUCCAGCCCGUGGCAAUGAACUCCUGCUCUUUGGCCCCGGGGGAAUCCCGUGUCCCGGUCUGGCCCCUGCAGUUCCAGCAGGGUGGCGGUUAAAUCAGAGAGGGGCCAGAGAAGGAUUUGAAACCCUGCCCUCGAGUGAGAGAUUCCCGGAGCACACGUUUGAUACACACCCUCUGACGUAACAGACAAAAUAAUGUCACCCAACGCCUGGGAGUUGAAGCUGGAAAUAAGGCAUCAAUUUGUCCCCACGUGUGUAAUUAGUUAGUGGAACAAUUUCCCCAGGGGAUUCUCCAUCCCUGGUAACUCUUAAAGCGAGACGGGUGGCUGUUCUCACAGAUCUGCUCUGGUUCACACAGGGGUUACUUGCGGGCGGGGGGAACUCUCUGUUUUUAGGGUGUCAGACUCGGCGAUUAUGUUGAAUGAUGUAUGCCGGGGGGCUAGCCCGUGUAUAUCCCGUUCCCGAUGUGUAUGGGAUGCGGCAGACAUGUGUCGGGAUGCACUGAGCACACAACAGAGAUCUAAUGGGAGGUACGUACCCUAAAUUGGCCUGUGGGUUUUAUACAACUCUGCUCACCUGUGCUAAGAGAUCCAUCACGCCCGGCGUUCACAGAAGCAUCUGGCCCGAGUCGAUCGUUAAUGGCUCGAAAUCGAACUAGAUUCAUCCUACAGCUUCGUGCCGGCCGGGGAAGCCCCUCUGUUGCCCGGCCCCUGGAGCACUGGGAUCCAAAACCCAGCGAAGGAAGGAACAGAACCAGCGAGGGAACGGGGCCACGCGGCUGGGCGAGGGAGGAGUGAUGGGUCGCUUGUGAGAUCGUGGUAUAAAUAAAUGUCACGCGGGGAACGCACCUUCGAUACUGCACGGGCCGGCUUCCCGGAGACGGGUACCGGAGAGAACGGUCGCCCUGCACUGUGGGAUUGGCGCGUAGUGAUAAACCUGGCUGGCGUUGCUUAUUUGGUCUCCUGAGUGUGUUUCACACCGAGCCAAAGUGGGAUCAACACCUGACUCUGCAAUUUCUCAAUUUCCCCUCUGCCCUUAGACUCGAUGAAUACAACAUAUUGGCCGAAUAUAAGUCGGGUUUUUUUAUGUC